rnacentral:rRNA from 1 species
UACAGAGGUGGCAAGCGUUGUUCGGAAUUACUGGGCGUAAAGGGCGCGUAGGCGGCCUUCUAAGUCAGACGUGAAAUCCCCCGGCUUAACCUUGGAACUGCGUCGGAUACUGGAUGGCUUGAAUUCGGGAGAGGGAUGCAGAAUUCCAGGUGUAGCGGUGAAAUGCGUAGAUAUCUGGAGGAAUACCGGUGGCGAAGGCGGCAUCCUGGACCGACAUUGACGCUGAAAACCGAAAGCUAGGGGAGCAAACGGG